GAUGAACGCUAGCGGCAGGCCUAUCACAUGCAAGUCGAGGGAGGAGCUUUCGGGCUUCGACCGGCGUACGGGUGCGUAACGCGUAUACAAUCUGCCUUUCACAUAGGGAUAGCCCGAAGAAAUUUGGAUUAAUACCUAAUGGUAUAUAGGAGUGGCAUCACAUUUAUAUUAAAGCUGAGGCGGUGAAAGAUGAGUAUGCGUUCUAUUAGCUAGUUGGAGAGGUAACGGCUCCCCAAGGCGACGAUAGAUAGGGGUUCUGAGAGGGAUAUCCCCCACACUGGUACUGAGAUACGGACCAGACUCCUACGGGAGGCAGCAGUGAGGAAUAUUGGACAAUGGUCGGAAGACUGAUCCAGCCAUGCCGCGUGCAGGAAGACGGCCUUAUGGGUUGUAAACUGCUUUUGCAGGGGAAGAAUAAGGACUACGAGUAGUUUGAUGACGGUACUCUGCGAAUAAGCAUCGGCUAACUCCGUG
rnacentral:rRNA from 1 species